GAUGAACGCUGGCGGCGUGCCUAAUACAUGCAAGUCGAGCGAACAGACGAGGAGCUUGCUCCUCUGACGUUAGCGGCGGGCGGGUGAGUAACACGUGGAUAACCUACCUAUAAGACUGGGAUAACUUCGGGAACCCGGAGCUAAUACCGGAUAAUAUAUUGAACCGCAUGGUUCAAUAGUGAAAGACGGUUUUGCUGUCACUUAUAGAUGGAUCCGCGCCGCAUUAGCUAGUUGGUAAGGUAACGGCUUACCAAGGCAACGAUGCGUAGCCGACCUGAGAGGAUGAUCGGCCACACUGGAACUGAGACACGGUCCAGACUCCUACGGGAGGCAGCAGUAGGGAAUCUUCCGCAAUGGGCGAAAGCCUGACGGAGCCACGCCGCGUGAGUGAUGAAGGUCUUCGGAUCGUAAAACUCUGUUAUUAGGGAAGAACAAAUGUGUAAUAAACUAUGCACGUCUUGACGGUACCUAAUCAGAAAGCCCCGGCUAACUACGUG
rnacentral:rRNA from 1 species